rnacentral:SRP_RNA from 1 species
GCCAGGCAUGGUGAUGUAUGCCUGUGGUCCCAGCUACUUGGGAGGCUGAGGCAGGAGAUCCCUUGAGCCCAGGAGGUCAAGGUUGCAGUGAGCCAUGGUUGUGCCACUGCACCCCAGCCUGGGUGACACAGUGAGAUCCUGUCUCAA